rnacentral:rRNA from 1 species
UUGAUCCUGGCUCAGAUUGAACGCUGGCGGCAGGCCUAACACAUGCAAGUCGAACGGUAACAGGAAACAGCUUGCUGUUUCGCUGACGAGUGGCGGACGGGUGAGUAAUGUCUGGGAAACUGCCUGAUGGAGGGGGAUAACUACUGGAAACGGUAGCUAAUACCGCAUAACGUCGCAAGACCAAAGAGGGGGACCCUCGGGCCUCUUGCCAUCGGAUGUGCCCAGAUGGGAUUAGCUUGUUGGUGGGGUAACGGCUCACCAAGGCGACGAUCCCUAGCUGGUCUGAGAGGAUGACCAGCCACACUGGAACUGAGACACGGUCCAGACUCCUACGGGAGGCAGCAGUGGGGAAUAUUGCACAAUGGGCGCAAGCCUGAUGCAGCCAUGCCGCGUGUAUGAAGAAGGCCUUCGGGUUGUAAAGUACUUUCAGCGGGGAGGAAGGGAGUAAAGUUAAUACCUUUGCUCAUUGACGUUACCCGCAGAAGAAGCACCGGCUAACUCCGUGCCAGCAGCCGCGGUAAUACGGAGGGUGCAAGCGUUAAUCGGAAUUACUGGGCGUAAAGCGCACGCAGGCGGUUUGUUAAGUCAGAUGUGAAAUCCCCGGGCUCAACCUGGGAACUGCAUCUGAUACUGGCAAGCUUGAGUCUCGUAGAGGGGGGUAGAAUUCCAGGUGUAGCGGUGAAAUGCGUAGAGAUCUGGAGGAAUACCGGUGGCGAANGCGGCCCCCUGGACGAAGACUGACGCUCANGUGCGAAAGCGUGGGGAGCAAACAGG